GCCUAACACAUGCAAGUCGAACGGAGGUAGGGGCAACUCUACUUCAGUGGCGGACGGGUGAGGAAUGCGUCGGAAUCUACCCUAUGGUGGGGGAUAACACAGGGAAACUUGUGCUAAUACCGCAUAAUGUCGAGAGACCAAAGCAGGGGACCGCAAGGCCUUGCGCGAUAGGAUGAGCCGACGCCCGAUUAGCUAGUUGGUAGGGUAAUGGCCUACCAAGGCGACGAUCGGUAGCUGGUCUGAGAGGAUGAUCAGCCACACUGGGACUGAGACACGGCCCAGACUCCUACGGGAGGCAGCAGUGGGGAAUAUUGGACAAUGGGCGCAAGCCUGAUCCAGCAAUGCCGCGUGUGUGAAGAAGGCCUGCGGGUUGUAAAGCACUUUUGUUCGGGAAGAAAUCAUGCUGGUUAAUACCUGGUAUGGAUGACGGUACCGAAAGAAUAAGCACCGGCUAACUUCGUGCCAGCAGCCGCGGUAAUACGAAAGGGUGCAAGCGUUAAUCGGAA
rnacentral:rRNA from 1 species